rnacentral:rRNA from 1 species
GAUGAACGCUGGCGGCGUGCUUAACACAUGCAAGUCGAACGGAAAGGCCCAAGCUUGCUUGGGUACUCGAGUGGCGAACGGGUGAGUAACACGUGGGUGAUCUGCCCUGCACUUCGGGAUAAGCCUGGGAAACUGGGUCUAAUACCGGAUAGGACCACGUCUUGGAUGUUGUGGUGGAAAGUUUUUUCGGUGUGGGAUGAGCUCGCGGCCUAUCAGCUUGUUGGUGGGGUAAUGGCCUACCAAGGCAUCGACGGGUAGCCGGCCUGAGAGGGUGUACGGCCACAUUGGGACUGAGAUACGGCCCAGACUCCUACGGGAGGCAGCAGUGGGGAAUAUUGCACAAUGGGCGCAAGCCUGAUGCAGCGACGCCGCGUGGGGGAUGACGGCCUUCGGGUUGUAAACUCCUUUCGCUAGGGACGAAGCGUUUUUGUGACGGUACCUGGAGAAGAAGCACCGGCUAACUACGUG